rnacentral:lncRNA from 1 species
GACUCAACUGGCCCUCCGAACGCUAUCCCACUUUCCAGCCAGGAUUGAAGGAGAUCCCAUCUUGGGUCUAAAGGAAUGGGGGUGAAGACUGCAUCUUGUCGUUCCAGUUCCACCCCAUUCUGGCAUGGGAAGCAUGUGUGGGCUUCUACUCUAUGGGAGAUUCAUAGCCUCAAUCCUUAAGGAAUUCUCAAUCUGAAAGGAAAACACAAACCCUGACCUCAGGGAGCUCCCAGUUUGACAGUGGAGACAGAGAGGCCCUGCAUCAAGUAGAAAAACAACCCCCACUGCUCUCAAGCACACAGCAAUGAAGAUAUGUAUCCUUGGUGCUACAGGCAAAUGCUGACGAUACGACAGUGAAUACAACAUGAAAAAACAAGCACACUUCUCACCCCUAUGGAGCUUUAUUCUGGUCAGGCAGAAGGAGAAGGAAAUGUAAACAUGCAAGGUCAGGUACUGCUGUGAAGCAAAAUAAAGCUGUGGGUACUGUGCG